GGGAGUAUAGCUCAGUGGUAGAGCAUUUGACUGCAGAUCAAAUGGCCCCCGGGUCAACUCUGGGUGCCCACU
rnacentral:tRNA from 1 species